rnacentral:rRNA from 1 species
AGAGGUCUCAAGCGUUGUUCGGAAUCACUGGGCGUAAAGCGUCCGUAGGCGGCGAGGUAAGUCAGAUGUGAAAUACCGGGGCUCAACCCCGGAACUGCAUCCGAUACUGCCUUGCUAGAGGACUGGAGGGGAGUCUGGAAUUCACGGUGUAGCAGUGAAAUGCGUAGAUAUCGUGAGGAACACUAGUGGCGAAGGCGAGACUCUGGACAGUUCCUGACGCUGAGGGACGAAGGCCGGGGGGGGAGCGAAGCGGAUUAGAUACCCGCGUAGUCCCGGCAGUAAACCGGUGCACGUUUGGUGUGGGAGGAUUCGACCCCCCCCUUCCGUGCCGGAGCUAACGCGUUAAACGUGCCGCCUGGGGAUACGAUCGCAAGAUUA